UUGCUGUGAUGACAGUCUUAGGACACCUUUGGAUCGCCCAGGUGAGAAUGGAUGGUUGCUGU
rnacentral:snoRNA from 1 species